CAUGUCUCACAAACCCGAGUGUCGCUGGAUUUGGAAGUACCCAAUGGGUUCGGGAACAGAUCGAUGGAACCAAAGAUAACUACUGUUGAAUCUCAGUAGCCGCGCUGUUCCCACAGAAUCCUGCAGCGAGCAGCUGAUUCAUCCAGAUGAAGCCUUCAGUGCCAUCCUUUGCAGAUCUGAGAGUCCCGUUGCCUUCUCUGCAGAGCCCUGAGCAAUUAGAGCUUGGCCAUGUGAUCUGCAUUUCUGGAUGCUACCUUGAACACCACUGAUGCAAGCCUUGCUCAGACAGAAGCCCUGCUGUGUCCAUGAGCAGCCCUGAAAGAGACAGGACACCAUUUCUGAUCAGUCUUACAGGGAAUGGUCUUAUCAGAGUUCUUCA
rnacentral:lncRNA from 1 species